rnacentral:rRNA from 1 species
UACAGAGGUCUCAAGCGUUGUUCGGAUUCAUUGGGCGUAAAGGGUGCGUAGGUGGUGAGGUAAGUCGGAUGUGAAAUCUCCGGGCUCAACCCGGAAACUGCAUUGGAAACUACCUUGCUUGAGGAUUUGAGGGGGGAUUGGAAUACUUGGUGUAGCAGUGAAAUGCGUAGAUAUCAAGUGGAACACCAGUGGCGAAGGCGAAUCCCUGGAAAAUACCUGACACUGAGGCACGAAAGCUAGGGGAGCAAACAGG